UACGUAGGGAGCAAGCGUUGUCCGGAAUCAUUGGGCGUAAAGAGCUCGUAGGCGGCUUGUCGCGUCGACUGUGAAAACCUGCAGCUUAACUGUGGGCUUGCGGUCGAUACGGGCAUCACUGGAGUUCGGCAGGGGAGACUGGAAUUCCUGGUGUAGCGGUGAAAUGCGCAGAUAUCAGGAGGAACACCGGUGGCGAAGGCGGGUCCUCUAGUACGGUACUGACGCUGAGGUGCGAAAGCGUGGGGAGCAAACAGG
rnacentral:rRNA from 1 species